UAAUGUAUGGGGAUCUGCCCGAUAGAGGGGAAUAACUACUGGAAACGGUGGCUAAUACCGCAUAAUGUCUACGGACCAAAGCAGGGGCUCUUCGGACCUUGCACUAUCGGAUGAACCCAUAUGGGAUUAGCUAGUAGGUGGGUAAAGGCUCACCUAGGCGACGAUCUCUAGCUGGUCUGAGAGGAUGAUCAGCCACACUGGGACUGAGACACGGCCCAG
rnacentral:rRNA from 1 species